GUCAGAUACACUUUAUUAUCUCAAGCAAUUGCACAAAAGGAGAGAGUGCUCUAGGACACAGGGUUUCCCCCACCUAGUCAGGUCUCUCUAAAGAUAAACAAUUAGAGCAAGUAUUUAUACCUUUAUUACAGACAAUAAUAAGCAACAGCUGCAUAUUGUUUAUACAUAGUCCUUCAUGAUAUCUUAUUUUUCUCAAUUUCUCUUAUAGUCUACAUUCAAUUCUUAUCUAAUACCAGGUCACAACAGCCUCUUUCACAAUUCUUUUCCACUCACUUCGCACUAUCCCCACUUCUACAAAUCUUGCGUUAUUAAAGCUAGAGUUAGCCUGACUCCUGCUCGUUUCAGAGCCCUGCAUCCAAAUUCCCUUUAUCUACUUCCACAGACUUGUACCCUGAAAUGGUUUGCGUUGCUUUUAUCUCACAGGCAGACUGUGUACAACUUGGCCAGAGGGCUGAGUCACUGAAGACCCACCACAAACAGAGAGAGAGAGAGAGAGAGAGAGAGAGAGAGAGAGAGUUCAGGCAAAUACACUUGACCAGGGGUGCUCGCAAGAGUUGUCUCAGAGAAGCAUAUUAAUGAACUGUGUCAACUGGACAAUAUAAAAAUAUUGUACCUUGUAUGCAGAAUGUUAUUGUUAAAGGAUUGAGGCAGCAACAAGACCCCUUACAGAACAAUGAGAACAAAAAGAAGAGCUUGAAGAAAAGUUAUUGUGAUAGCCUGUAUCUACAGCUGAUGAGCAAUUGGCAGACUGACUCUAAAAAGACACAUAGCCAAGGGACAGUGAAUUGAUUUUUCCAGGGUUAAAACCCAAUUUCAACCACAGACAGCACAUUUCAUAUUUCUCCCUUACCACCCCCCCCCCCCCACCAGGCAGCAAUCAUUAACUUUCAGGUCUAAUUGCAAACAUUUUCUAGUAUAUGAGCUUUGCAACACUGCAGCAUGUCUUUCACUGGGUUAGUUACAGUCAGAGUGAGUGCACCAUAGAACUGUGGAAUAAUGUGUUUUAGAAGAACAAAGCCUGAGAAGGCCACCUGGAAAGCAAAUAACCUUGUCAGAGUACAAGUGCAAAUAAAAUUAAGGUAAUGAAAGAUUCUCUCCCUUCUUCUUCAUGCUUAAUACAGAAAGCCUUCUUGGUGCUUCAUGUAGGCCUACCAUUUUCCCAUCCUGCAUGGGCUGAUUGGUUUCAACCACCACUGAAGUCAGCUUUCAAGAAGUAGUCAGCAUUGUCCAAGAUCAAGCUCCGUCUUUUUAAAUGAAAAGGCAGCCUGAGCUCAUUUUCCAAGGCAUGUGAAGAUGUGCACCAUCAGUUGCUCAGAGGUAGGUCAAACUAUCAGUAUCUGAAACUCAAGCUUCAGUUCUCACUCCCUCACAUCAUCUCCAAGACUGAUGGACCAAUGUUACUGUAAAAUGGCUUCUUUUUGAAUAUUGCUCUUCUUUCAUCAACUGCUUUUUGUUCCUGAUCCUAGGAAAGUUUGACAUUUUUCAGCUGCACAAAGGCCAAAUUUUCCAAAUGCAAGAGCUUAAACUGCAGCUGCAAAAUCUGGGUAUACAUGAAUUGCAUGCAAACAACCUGCAUUUGUAGCAAAUUGUGUAAUUACAAAUGCAAAUAGUACUUGCACAUGCAAUUACCAGAUUUUCAUUUGCAUAUGAAGGCUCUGCAGGUGUAAAUCAUCUGUAUUUUUAAGGUUUAGUAUAAUGGAUUUGUUUUAAAUGGACAAGAACAGUAAGACUGAAAAAAAUCAUGGAGGCAAGGAAUUACAGCUAAUGUCUGGGCUUUAUUCAGAGUUGUAGGCAAAUUUACACAUCAUUCUAGAGGCACUAAUAGCCCAACACCGGAGAUGAAGUAAAAUGAGAUAAAGGUAUAGUACCUGAGUCCUUCCCAGAUUUUGUGUGAUUAAGGAAGUCCCUCAUUAUUUGUAAUAGCUUUUUGUAUUGAGAUAGGAGAUUGUUGCUUACCACGAAUAGACAUUUUAAUGAAUAAUUACAUGAUUAAAAGGUAA